rnacentral:pre_miRNA from 1 species
GACUUCAACUAAAAAAGUAAUCAAUAACAAAGUUGUAUAAUCCAUCUAAAUCUACAAAAUUUAUUUUGGUCAUUUGUUCAUCCGAUAAAGUAAUAGUAAUAUUGUUCAUAAAUUUUACAUAUCUCCCAUAUGGUUUCAUAAAUUAUAAGAUAGAUGUGUAAAUUGUGUAAACAAUGUUACUAUCAUUUUGUCGAAUGAACAAAUGACCAAAAUAAAAAUUGUAGAUCUCGAUCGGUUCUACAACUUUUGUGUUCAUGACUUUUUCAGAUGAAAUC